UACGUAGGAGACGAGCGUUGUCCGGAGUUACUGGGCGUAAAGGGUGCGCAGGCGGCCUGGCGCGUCGCGAGUGAAAUCUCCUGGCUCAACUGGGAGGGUGGUCGCGAGACGGCUGGGCUUGAGGCUCGGUGAGGGGCGUGGAAUUCCGGGUGGAGCGGUGAAAUGCGUAGAUAUCAGGAGGAACACCUGCGGUGUAGACGGCUUACUGGACCAUCACUGACGCUGAGGCGCGAAAGCGUGGGUAGCAAACAGG
rnacentral:rRNA from 1 species